ensembl:lncRNA
GUAAGGGGCGGCUUGGUAAGGAAGGGAAUGUCACACCUUACAUUCCUUGGUUGUUAUCUUCUGGUUCCUCAGGAAGAAAAUCAUGUUUUACACUCAUGAGACGGCCUCUGAACUGUCCUGACCUUUGCCUUCUCUAGUCUGCAAGAGAAUUGUACUAUCAGGCCUUGCUUUCCUCACACGAUGGAUUUUCUGGUCUUCACGCAUCCACAGCUCUGUUCUUUGGGUUAGUGAUGAUGGGGCUUGAACCUCAAGGCCUUUUUCAGGCCAGAAAUUCUGCUCAUUUAUGAGCAGAAUCCAUCACGUUCCUCAGAAAGCCAGCUAACCAGCUCCUAGGGUGCCCCAGACAAUUUAGGAUUUUUCUCUUAGGAUUUGAAUGUACUAAAAGUCACACCAUUAACUUUUUCUCUUGUAGUGUUGAAAAAUGAGCCAUUAUGCCAGUAAGAGUCAACUGGUAGAAGUUACCAAAAAAUACCCCUGGUCGGUCGGGGGAACUGAAGGACCUUCUAGUGAAGACGCCCAAAGGCCAUCCUAGGGGAUUCUGUUCUCAGCUAGCCCACUGCCUGCCUAACCAGGAAAGGAGGUGCAGAAGCAGCCUGCUGUGUUUCAAUUUCCUCUUCUGUACGUGAACGAGCUACUGAAGAUAUAGCAGGAGUGGAGGCUGACUGAGUGUGGCAGGAACGAGGUAUUCAUAGAACGGGGGAGCACAAUGUAAGUAAAACCAAGAGCUCGAGUAUAUGGGAAACAGUCACUGUCCUGCGCUCAGCUCCCGUCCUGCCGCCGACAGUUCUGGGCGGCACGUGGCCUUCCUGUGCACACGGCCUCAGCUGCUGCUGUAAACGAACAAUUACAUCAAGUGGUUUCUUUAGCAUGACAGCUGCUUCCCUGUAUGGCGUCCCUAAGUGUAAGACGAGAUUCUGUGCAUGCCUUCUGUAAGGAAUUACAGGGAGAGUGAGGCUUAUCCCGGGGACGUAAGGAAGUGACAUGGGUCAGUGAAUGCCGUGUGGUCUCGGUCACUGUCUGAGUCAAACCGCAAUGCAACUUAAUCCAUGGGGAAAGGAGCAGGGAGGCAAGGCUGCACCUUUUGGAGGAAUGGAGAAAAGAGGGACAACAUACAGUGCACGGUAGGACCAGGCUCCCCACCUCUGGCAGAUGGAGGCAGCUGCCUUAUCCGGCCUGGAGCGGGAGGGUGAGGCCGAGGCUAAGAGGAUAGCUGGCCCUGGAGACAGAUUUGGGGGUCUGAACGCCAGCUCCACCCUGGGCUGCUAUGUGACAAGCCCUACACAGCCAUGCAGGCAAGUUAACCUCCUCGAGUCUGCUCCCUCAUUCUAGAAAACGAGUGUGGUGGCAGCUCUGGCCUCACGAGAGACUGCCGGUAAAGAAGGCUGCACGGAGCUGGGCUGACAAAAGUGAGCACCCAGGUGGUAGCUGGAUUUUCGCAUGGAUUGUGGUGGGGCCUCUCUUGCUUAGUUCAAGUUCAGGAUGUGAACGAAAUAAGAGGCCACGAGAGGUGUUAGAAAAGCUGUUAUUUCAUUCCUAUUAUGUGUGAUACUUCGCUGGAAUUAACAGAUGCAAGACUUUUAAUUCAACCAAAUCUCUGCAAAGUAGGUAUAAUCAUCCCCAUUUUACAGUCCGGACCAAGGAGGCUCCACUUAAGUCAGAUAGCUUGCCCAAGGACACACCUACUACCCAUUUCACAGGUAAGUGUCUGGGAGAGGCAAAUAACCAGAAUAGAGGAAUAUUUUUUGAACAUAUUUUUGUUAUGAAGAGUGGUAACAGUAAUAUGUAGGACGAACAUGGCGGGGGUGGGGGGGGAGCAGGUACUGAGAGUAACUGGAUAAUCCGUAAAUCAGGAAAAACAGGACCGAAAGAAAUAGUAGCAGCAGAUAGGGCUUCCCAUAAAGUAUAAAACACUUCACUGAUAAUACAAAAUGAUUUAUUCUUAAUAGCUGAAUAUUUUAAUAUAUAUAGAAAAAAGGCAGUGUUUCAGGUAUCAUCACUCAGGAUUAAACUCAAGUAGGUAGCAGAGAUAACCCACCUUACACAGACCAUGAGCGUUACAGCAGGGUGUCCAGACGUGCCUGUGAAUGUUUGCAGCCUCCAGUAACCGAACCUUCCCGGUAAAUCUUCGAGGAUGGAGAGAAGCCUGGGUACCACCGUUAACUCUUCUGCAGGGUGGAUGGGAAUUCUCAGGCUGCUACACACAUUGCUGGAAGCCGUGUUUGGGAAGGCACGCGGCUGCCCUGGAAGCAGAAUCUAAGCACUGCUGUUUACCCAGGGAAGCUCCCACCAGUGCCAGGGAAGAUGUGAAGCACAAUUUAAGAGACAGAAUGUAGGAGGCUGUUUAAAACAGAACAGCAUGGUAAGAGCAUUCCAGACUUCUCUCCUGGCUUUGUGGAGACACGAGCUCCUCUCUCCUGGCUGAAGCACACUGGCUUUGCAUGGAGCAGAGCCUCACUCAUGGACAGCUCCAGCUUUGAAAAGAACCUCUAGUCUUCCUAAGGAAGCCUGGAAUCUGCCAGAUCACAUAAAUGGGUGGGCCUGGCUGUGCAAACAAACUUACGUCGUAGUAGGAACAACAAAUGCAUCCUCGUAAGGCAAGUUUACAAUAUUGCGAACUGGAGCCAAGAGGCAUAUCCCUGGAUCAUGCUGCGUUUGUUUAGAUCUGAAUCUAAGAAACGAAUCAGUUAUCAGCUGACCUUAACUCUCAAACUAUUUUGAACACUACUAAGAAAUCAUUAAAAGACUCGAUAAAAGGUCGUCAAGGAUUUCCCUACCUCAGAUGGCAGCAAUGCGUAGAUAGGGAAACCUUUCCCUGUUACUUUGUGGACGUAAUCAAAUAAUUCCAGAAUCUGGACAAACUUCAGACGGCUUUUUCAAAGUCACCCACAUCAUUUUAAGAAUCAAUGCUCAGCUCAUGUGCACAGGCACAUUCCUGGGGUCAAGGUGGAGCUGGUCUGGGGCUGUCGACUGCUGUUUCUCUCUCAACGUACAGCUGCAAAGCAUCUCUGCCAAACACCAGGUGAGGACACCAAGGCACAGAGAGGUUAAGUCACUUGCUCAAGGUCACAAAGAUAGUUUACACAGACAUUCGCACUGGAAGCCCAGAAAAAAGAUAAUUAAGUACAUUCCACAACAGAAACUGAAGAGUAACUAUUCCUUAGGUGAUGUUAAAUAUGUUGGUACCUACAACUGAAAAUGCUAUUUCGGUUGGAACAGAAACAGACUGGGAGAUAUCAGAGAUCAAGGCCCUGCUAAACUUGGUCACUUCAUUCUGAUGGCUUACCAGCAGGAGAAAGCCAUUCAGACUAGAGACAAGAUGGCAGAGUAGAAAGGACCUUGAGCUCACCUCCUCUCACGAGCACACCAAAAUCACAAAUAACUGUUGAACAAACAUUGAUUAAAAAAAGACUGGAACCUACCAAAAAAGAUCUCCUACAUCCAAAGACAAAGAAGGAAGCACAACGAGAUGGUAGGAGGGGGUGCAACGGUGACACAAUCAAUUCCCACACCACCUGGGGGGUGACCCAGAGACUGGAGAAUAAUUUUAUCACAGACUUCCUCCUAGAAGAGUGAGAGUUCGGAGCCCCACAUCAGGCUCCCCAGCCUGGGGGUCUGGCAGCGGUGGAGGAGCCCCUAGAGCAUUUGGCUUCGAAAGCCAGCGGGGUUUGACUGCAGGAGCCCCACAGGAGUGAGGGAAACAGAGACUCCACUCUUGGAGGGUGCAGGGUGCAGAGCACCAGGACCCAGGACGAAAGCAGUGACUUCGUAGAAGCCUGGGCCAGACCUACCUGGGCAGCCCUCUUGCUUGGGUAAUUAGCACCAACACCUGGGCCCACCCAACAGCCUACAGGCGCCGGUGCUGGGAGGCCUCAGGCCAACCAACCAACCAACCAACACAGAGGGAACACAGCCCCACCCAUCAGCAGACAGGCUGCCUAAAAACCCCCUGAGCCCACAGACACCUCUCAACGUGCCCCCUGUUACAGCCCUGCCCCACCCAGAGGGCUGACACUGGCCCCUCCCACCAGGAAGCCUGCACAAGCCUCUAGACCAGCCUCACUCACUGGGGGCAGACACCAGAAGCAAGAAAACGACAAUCUUGCAGCCUGCGAACCGAGGCAAAGAACUUGGGAAAAGAAUGCACGCAGAGCAAGGAGCUACAAGAAGUUUUAAGACAGAGAAAAUAGAACAACCAGAGUUGAGAAUACAAUAACUGAAAUGAAAAAUACACUAGGAGGAAUCAAUAGCAGAAUAAAUGAGGCAGAAGAAUGGAUAAGUGACCUGGAAGACAGAAUGGUGGGGAUCACUGCUGUGUAACAGAAUAAAGAAUGAAAAGAAAUGAGGACAGCCGAAGAGACCUCUGGGACAACAUCAAAUGCACCAACAUUCACAUUAUAGGGGUCCCAGAAGAAGAAGGAGGAACAUGCCGGGACACACAGUAAUAAAAAUGACAAAAAUUAAAGAUUAAGAGAAAAUAUUAAAAGCAACAAGGAAAUUCUCAUAAGGUUAUCAGCUGAUUUUUCAGCAGAAACUCUGCAGGCCAAAAGGGAGUGGCACAAUAUAAAGUGAUGAAAGGGAAAAACCUAAAACCAAGAUUACUCUACCCAGCAAGGCUCUCAUUUAGAUUUGACAGAGAAAGCAACAGCUUAAGAACUGGCACCACCAAACCAGCUUUACAACAAAUGCUAAAGCAACUUCUCUAGGCGGGAAACAAACAUGCGGAGGCUAAACAAUAUGCUUCUAAACAACCAAUGGAUCACUGAGGAAAUCAAAAAACACCUAGAGACAAAUGAAACCUAAAACACAAGGAUCCAAAACUUAUGGGAUGCAGCAAAAGCAGUUCUAACAGGGAAGUUUAUGGUGAUACAAGCUCACCUCAGGAAACAAGAAAAAUCUCAAAUAAACAACCUAACCUUACACCUAAAGCAACUAAAGAACAAACAAAAUACAAAAUAGGUAGAAGGAAAGAAAUCAUAAAGGUCACGGAAGAAAUAAAUAGACUAAUAAAACAAAAAGAUCAAUGAAACUAAAAGCUGAUUCUUUGAAAAGAUAAACAAAAUUGCUAAACCUUUAGCCAAACUCAUAAGAAAAAAAGGGAUAGGGCCCAAACC